GUUUCACCCUGUCCCCUCGAUACGGCUUUAUCUGUGUCUCAGUUUACUCACUGCAGGAAAUACACUGCUGUGGGUGGAAAUAUACUUGCGAGGGGUGCAGUGAGGGUUAACAGUAUGUGAUAUCACAUGGCACAUAUUCCUCACUCACCCUUUAAUCUGUACUGGUGCAGGAGGCAGUAAGAUGCUAACACAUUCAUAAAGGAUUCACAUGCUGGCCAGGCUGUGAUCAACCCACUGCAGAUCAAAGCCAUGCUUGUCAGGGACAGCGAGAGCCUGCUUGCUUACAGCAGGGGUUGCAGCUCCACCAAAACCACUUAUUCUCAUCAGCUUCAUCGUGUUCAGAAGCAGCUGAUGGUUCCCUUUGGCGGGGUGAAGCGAGAUAUUUUUGAUCUGUGAAACAACAGCUGCCUCACAACACAUGGAGCGGAGGAAUCAGAUGGUUGUGAUUGAAGGUUGGAAU